CACUCUCCACCUCUUUCACUCUCCACCUCUUUCACUCUCCACCUCCUGUAGGUUAAAGCUCAAACUUUUGUGGAUGUGACUGAGGAGACGAGGAAAUGUGACUCAUUAUUAUUGGUUUGUUGAACAGAGGACGUGUGGACAGAGAAGAAGAGAAACUGAAGAUUGUGGAUUGUCUUUACGUCCUCAGGUGGGAGGUGGAGUCCUUGAGAUUUCUCCAUGAGGAGGUGGAGAAGUCAGGACGGUGCCUCCUGAACUUGAGAGAAGAGGAGUCAUUGCCAGCAUCUGUAUUUAAACUAACCCUUAUGUAACAGAUAAUGUCCUGUCAAUCAUCAUUUCAUUUUGUUUUCCUUAUGAACUCUUGUAAAUAUCUGAGAUUUUUUUAUUACUUAUUUGCCUAUUUUUUAUUUUUCUUGUACAUUUACAUUUAUAUAUUUAUUUGACAACGACAAACCCUCACUUUAAAAUUGAAAUGAUAUUUAUCCCGUAAUGAUUUUCUGAAAACAAACAAAAAAACAAACAAAGAAGCAAACAAACCAUUUUAAUUUGGAGACUAAUAAGUGCACAUGUUGUAACAGUGAAACAGAAACUGUUGAACAUUUGUUCUUUUAUUGUAGUUUUAUUAGAACAUUUUGUGAAUCGUUCUAAAUGUGGACGGUGAAACAUGACACAGAUUUACCUCAUGUCGCCGAUAAAGACGUAAAAUAUGGAGUCACUUUAUAAGACGACAAAGAAACUACCACAGACAAAUAAAUGUUAUUUUUAAGUGUUUUUUGUUUUUUUUGUUGUUGUUUUUUUAUUGAGAGAGAGAAUUGCUGAAUAAAUACAUUGUGUAAUUAAAACAUAA